AAUAUGGUGCCUGAAAAUAGGGUUACUUUGAUAGAGUAAAAAAUGCAAAAUUUUUGCCCAUAUUA
rnacentral:tRNA from 1 species